rnacentral:rRNA from 1 species
UACCCUGUAGACUGGGAUAACACCUCGAAAGGGGUGCUAAUACCGGAUAAUGUCGAGAAGCGGCAUCGCUUUUCGAAGAAAGGAGGGAAUCCGCUAUAGGAGGAGUCCGCGUCCCAUUAGCUAGUUGGUGAGGGUAACGGCCCACCAAGGCGACGAUGGGUAGCCGGCCUGAGAGGGUGAACGGCCACACUGGAACUGAGACACGGUCCAGACUCCUACGGGAGGCAGCAGUGGGGAAUAUUGUGCAAUGGGGGAAACCCUGACACAGCGACGCCGCGUGAGUGAAGAAGGCCUUCGGGUCGUAAAGCUCAAUAGUAUGGGAAGAAAGAAAUGACGGUACCAUACGAAAGCCCCGGCUAACUACGUGCCAGCAGCCGCGGUAAUACGUAGGGGGCGAGCGUUGUCCGGAAUUACUGGGCGUAAAGAGCACGUAGGCGGCUAUAAAAGUCAGAUGU